UACGAGAGGUCCAAACGUUAUUCGGAAUCACUGGGCUUACAGAGUUCGUAGGCGGUUCUACAAGUGAGGUGUGAAAGCCCUCGGCUCAACCGAGGAACUGCGCUUCAAACUGUAGAACUAGAGGGAGAUAGAGGUGAGCAGAACUGAUGGUGGAGCGGUGAAAUGCGUUGGAUAUCCUAAAGGAACACCGGUGGCGAAAGCGGCUCACUGGAUCUAUUCUGACGCUGAUGCACGAAAGCUAGGGUAGCGAACGGG
rnacentral:rRNA from 1 species